rnacentral:rRNA from 1 species
GACGAACGCUGGCGGCGUGCUUAACACAUGCAAGUCGAACGCUGAACCCGCUUCGGUGGGGGAUGAGUGGCGAACGGGUGAGUAACACGUGGGCAACCUGCCCCCGGCUCUGGGAUAACUCCAAGAAAUUGGGGCUAAUACCGGAUGUGACCGCUGGCCGCAUGGUCUGGUGGUGGAAAGGGUUUCCGGCUGGGGAUGGGCCCGCGGCCUAUCAGCUUGUUGGUGGGGUAGUGGCCUACCAAGGCGACGACGGGUAGCCGGCCUGAGGGGGUGACCGGCCACACUGGGACUGAGACACGGCCCAGACUCCUACGGGAGGCAGCAGUGGGGAAUAUUGCGCAAUGGGCGGAAGCCUGACGCAGCGACGCCGCGUGGGGGAUGACGGCCUUCGGGUUGUAAACCUCUUUCAGCAGGGACGAAGCGAAAGUGACGGUACCUGCAGAAGAAGCACCGGCCAACUACGUG